rnacentral:rRNA from 1 species
AUUGAACGCUGGCGGCAGGCUUAACACAUGCAAGUCGAACGAGUGGCGGACGGGUGAGUAAUGCUUGGGAAUCUGGCUUAUGGAGGGGGAUAACUACUGGAAACGGUAGCUAAUACCGCAUACCAUCAGAUGUGCCCAGAUGGGAUUAGCUAGUAGGUGGGGUAACGGCUCACCUAGGCGACGAUCCCUAGCUGGUCUGAGAGGAUGACCAGCCACACUGAAACUGCACCACGUUCCAGACUCCUACGUGAGGCAACAGUGGGGAAUAUUGCAAAAUGGGCGCAAGCCUGAUGCAGCCAUGCCGCGUGUGUGAAGAAGGCCUUCGGGUUGUAAAGCACUUUCAGCGGGGAGGCGUUACCCGCAGAAGAAGCACCGGCUAACUCCGUGCCAGCAGCCGCGGUAAUAC